rnacentral:miRNA from 1 species
GGGAGUGACCGCUGUCUUUUAUGUGUGUGCACGCUGGCACACGCGCAUGCACACACUCACACGCACCUCAC